rnacentral:snRNA from 1 species
GGAUAUGAGGGCCAUCAGGCUGCUAGGCAGGUGUACCCUUCCUCCUCAUCACUCCAAGUGUGUCCCUCCUGAAGCUGCGUACUCAGUGGAAUAGGACAAAGCCCCAAAAGAGGAAGAUGUUUCUUUGAACAUGGGUAUAUGAGUAGCUGCACUCCCCUGCUAGAACCUCCAAACGAGGUCUCAAAUUUGCACCCUGAAUUUCAACCCUGAACAUUAUCCCAGGUGACUUGGAUAUUUUCACAUUUUCUGAGGCACAUGCACCUUCUGUGAAUGU